CGGGUUGUAAAGCACUUUCAGUAGGGAGGAAGGUAGUGUAGUUAACACCUGCAUUAUUUGACGUUACCUACAGAAGAAGCACCGGCUAACUCCGUGCCAGCAGCCGCGGUAAUACGGAGGGUGCGAGCGUUAAUCGGAAUUACUGGGCGUAAAGCGCAUGCAGGCGGCCUGUUAAGUCAGAUGUGAAAGACCCGGGGCGUUAACCUCGGAAUUGCAUUUGAAACUAGGCAGGCUAGAGUCUUGUAGAGGGGGGUAGGAAGUUUCUAGGUGUAGCGGUGAAAUAGCGUAGAGAUCUGAAGGAAUACCAGUGGCGAAGGCGGCCCCCUCGGACAAAGACUGACGCUCAGAUGCGAAAGCGUGGGGAGCAAACAGGAUUAGAUACCCUGGUAG
rnacentral:rRNA from 1 species